rnacentral:rRNA from 1 species
GAUGAACGCUGGCGGCGUGCCUAAUACAUGCAAGUCGAGCGAACGGACGAGAAGCUUGCUUCUCUGAUGUUAGCGGCGGACGGGUGAGUAACACGUGGAUAACCUACCUAUAAGACUGGGAUAACUUCGGGAAACCGGAGCUAAUACCGGAUAAUAUUUUGAACCGCAUGGUUCAAAAGUGAAAGACGGUCUUGCUGCCACUUAUAGAUGGAUCCGCGCUGCAUUAGCUAGUUGGUAAGGUAACGGCUUACCAAGGAAACGAUGCAUAGCCGACCUGAGAGGGUGAUCGGCCACACUGGAACUGAGACACGGUCCAGACUCCUACGGGAGGCAGCAGUAGGGAAUCUUCCGCAAUGGGCGAAAGCCUGACGGAGCAACGCCGCGUGAGUGAUGAAGGUCUUCGGAUCGUAAAACUCUGUUAUUAGGGAAGAACAUAUGUGUAAGUAACUGUGCACAUCUUGACGGUACCUAAUCAGAAAGCCACGGCUAACUACGUG